rnacentral:rRNA from 1 species
AUUGAACGCUGGCGGAAUGCUUUACACAUGCAAGUCGAACGGCAGCACGGACUUCGGUCUGGUGGCGAGUGGCGAACGGGUGAGUAAUGUAUCGGAACGUGCCCAGUCGUGGGGGAUAACGUAGUGAAAAUUACGCUAAUACCGCAUACGAUCUAUGGACGAAAGCGGGGGAUCGCAAGACCUCGCGCGAUUGGAGCGGCCGAUAUCAGAUUAGGUAGUUGGUGGGGUAAAGGCCCACCAAGCCAACGAUCUGUAGCUGGUCUGAGAGGACGACCAGCCACACUGGAACUGAGACACGGUCCAGACUCGUCCGGGAGGCAGCAGUGGGGAAUUUUGGACACUGGGCGAAAGCCUGAUCCAGCCAUUCCGCGUGCAGGAUGAAGGCCCUCGGGUUGUAAACUGCUUUUGUACAGAACGAAAAGGUUUCUACUAAUACUAGGAGCUCAUGACGGUACUGUAAGAAUAAGCACCGGCUAACUACGUGACAGCCGCCGCAGUAA